rnacentral:rRNA from 1 species
AUGAACGCUGGCGGCGUGCCUAAUCCCUGCAAGUCGCGCGAACAGACGAGGAGCUUGCUCCUUCGACGUUAGCGGCGGACGGGUGAGUAACACGUAGGUAACCUACCUAUAAGACUGGGAUAACUUCGGGAAACCGGAGCUAAUACCGGAUAAUAUUUCGAACCGCAUGGUUCGAUAGUGAAAGAUGGCUUUGCUAUCACUUAUAGAUGGACCUGCGCCGUAUUAGCUAGUUGGUAAGGUAACGGCUUACCAAGGCAACGAUACGUAGCCGACCUGAGAGGGUGAUCGGCCACACUGGAACUGAGACACGGUCCAGACUCCUACGGGAGGCAGCAGUAGGGAAUCUUCCGCAAUGGGCGAAAGCCUGACGGAGCAACGCCGCGUGAGUGAUGAAGGUCUUCGGAUCGUAAAACUCUGUUAUUAGGGAAGAACAAACGUGUAAGUAACUGUGCACGUCUUGACGGUACCUAAUCAGAAAGCCACGGCUAACUACGUG